AAAUCCUUUAAUCCUGUCCCGUGAGGCAGGCAAGGAGACUGUGAAAAACAAUGGCUAGGACCAUAGGGCGAGACUCUAUCCUCUUAGACCAUUCAUUUGCUGAACCUCCUUGAAAAAGGAGGUUUUUCUU
rfam:Streptococcus sp. HSISM1 chromosome, whole genome shotgun sequence.